rnacentral:rRNA from 1 species
UACGUAGGGCGCAAGCGUUAUCCGGAAUUACUGGGCGUAAAGGGCUCGUAGGUGGCCAACUAAGUCAGACGUGAAAUCCCUCGGCUUAACCGGGGAACUGCGUCUGAUACUGGAUGGCUUGAGUUCGGGAGAGGGAUGCGGAAUUCCAGGUGUAGCGGUGAAAUGCGUAGAUAUCUGGAGGCACACCGGUGGCGAAGGCGGCAUCCUGGACCGACACUGACACUGAGGAGCGAAAGCCAGGGGAGCAAACGGG